rnacentral:rRNA from 1 species
UACGGGGGGGGCAAGCGUUGUUCGGAAUUACUGGGUGUAAAGAGUGUGUAGGCGGUGUUCUAAGUCUGUUGUGAAAUCUCCCGGCUUAACUGGGAGGGUGCGGCGGAGACUGGAAUGCUAGAGUGUGGGAGAGGUAAGCGGAAUUCCUGGUGUAGCGGUGAAAUGCGCAGAUAUCAGGAGGAACACCGGUGGCGAAGGCGCCACUCUGGGCCGAAACUGACGCUGAGGAGCGAAAGCGUGGGUAGCAAACAGG